UGGCUCGCGGCCUAUCAGUUUGUUGGUGGGGUAAUGGCCUACCAAGACGACGACGGGUAGCCGGCCUGAGAGGGCGACCGGCCACACUGGGAUUGAGACACGGCCCAGACUCCUACGGGAGGCAGCAGUGGGGAAUAUUGCACAAUGGGCGAAAGCCUGACGCAGCGACGCCGCGUGAGGGAUGACGGCCUUCGGGUUGUAAACCUCUUUCAGCAGGGAAGAAGCGAAAGUGACGGUACCUGCAGAAGAAGCACCGGCUAACUACGUGCCAGCAGCCGCGGUAAUACGUAGGGUGCGAGCGUUGUCCGGAAUUAUUGGGCGUAAAGAGCUUGUAGGCGGUUUGUCGCGUCUGCUGUGAAAAUCCGGGACUCAAUUCCGGACUUGCAGUGGGUACGGGCAGACUAGAGUACGGUAGGGGAGACUGGAAUUCCUGGUGUAGCGGUGAAUUGCGCAGAUAUCAGGAGGAACA
rnacentral:rRNA from 1 species